UACGUAGGGGGCAAGCGUUGUCCGGAAUUAUUGGGCGUAAAGCGCGCGCAGGCGGUUGAUUAAGUUUGGUGUUUAAGCCCGGGGCUCAACCCCGGUUCGCACUGAAAACUGAUCGACUUGAGUGUAGGAGAGGAAAGUGGAAUUCCACGUGUAGCGGUGAAAUGCGUAGAGAUGUGGAGGAACACCAGUGGCGAAGGCGAACUUUCUGGCCUAUAACUGACGCUGAGGCG
rnacentral:rRNA from 1 species